rnacentral:rRNA from 1 species
AAUCAAGUGCCUUAAGGGUGUUCGGUGGAUGCCUUGGCGCUGAGAGGCGAUGAAGGACGUGCUACGCUGCGAUAAGCUGUGGGGAGCUGCGAAGAAGCUUUGAUCCGCGGAUUUCCGAAUGGGGAAACCCACCUUCGAUAGCCGGAACUCCAAGACCUUGGUUUUGGGGUUCGAUUGGGAGACCGAGAGAAUUCAGGGCCGUGAGGUCUUGGAUUUCCGGUUAUCAAGAGAAGGUAUGAGAUCUCUGAAUACAUAGGAGGUUUCAAGCAAACCCAGGGAACUGAAACAUCUAAGUACCUGGAGGAAAGGACAUCAACCGAGACUCCGCUAGUAGUGGCGAGCGAACGCGGACCAGGCCAGUCAUGAAUGUAAGCCAACCAGAACCUGUCAGGAAAGCAGGGCCUCAGAGGGUGAUAGCCCCGUAUGGGUAAUGCGAACAUUCAUGCUCGAGUACGGCGG